rnacentral:rRNA from 1 species
GCUGGCGGCAGGCUUAACACAUGCAAGUCGAGCGGGGUGAUGGUGCUUGCACUAUCACUUAGCGGCGGACGGGUGAGUAAUGCUUAGGAAUCUGCCUAUUAGUGGGGGACAACAUUUCGAAAGGAAUGCUAAUACCGCAUACGUCCUACGGGAGAAAGCAGGGGAUCUUCGGACCUUGCGCUAAUAGAUGAGCCUAAGUCGGAUUAGCUAGUUGGUGGGGUAAAGGCCUACCAAGGCGACGAUCUGUAGCGGGUCUGAGAGGAUGAUCCGCCACACUGGGACUGAGACACGGCCCAGACUCCUACGGGAGGCAGCAGUGGGGAAUAUUGGACAAUGGGCGGAAGCCUGAUCCAGCCAUGCCGCGUGUGUGAAGAAGGCCUUAUGGUUGUAAAGCACUUUAAGCGAGGAGGAGGCUACUUUAGUUAAUACCUAGAGAUAGUGGACGUUACUCGCAGAAUAAGCACCGGCUAACUCUGUGCCAGCAGCCGCGGUAAUACAGAGGGUGCAAGCGUUAAUCGGAUUUACUGGGCGUAAAGCGCGCGUAGGCGGCUAAUUAAGUCAAAUGUGAAAUCCCCGAGCUUAACUUGGGAAUUGCAUUCGAUACUGGUUAGCUAGAGUGUGGGAGAGGAUGGUAGAAUUCCAGGUGUAGCGGUGAAAUGCGUAGAGAUCUGGAGGAAUACCGAUGGCGAAGGCAGCCAUCUGGCCUAACACUGACGCUGAGGUGCGAAAGCAUGGGGAGCAAACAGGAUUAGAUACCCUGGUAGUCCAUGCCGUAAACGAUGUCUACUAGCCGUUGGGGCCUUUGAGGCUUUAGUGGCGCA